GAUGAACGCUGGCGGCGUGCCUAAUACAUGCAAGUCGAGCGAACAGACGAGGAGCUUGCUCCUCUGACGUUAGCGGCGGACGGGUGAGUAACACGUGGAUAACCUACCUAUAAGACUGGGAUAACUUCGGGAAACCGGAGCUAAUACCGGAUAAUAUAUUGAACCGCAUGGUUCAAUAGUGAAAGACGGUUUUGCUGUCACUUAUAGAUGGAUCCGCGCCGCAUUAGCUAGUUGGUAAGGUAACGGCUUACCAAGGCAACGAUGCGUAGCCGACCUGAGAGGGAGAUCAACAACACGGGGACGUAGAAACGGUACCGACUCGGACGGGAGGCAGAAGGGGGGAAGAGUGGAGAAUGGGCGAAAGCCUGAGCCAGCCAUACCGCGUUGGUGAAGAAGGCCUUCGGGUUGUAAAGCCCGUUUGGGGGGAAAGAAAAGCAGCGGGAUAACACCCCGCUGCUCUGACGGUACCCAAAGAAUAAGAACCGGCUAACUUCGUG
rnacentral:rRNA from 1 species